rnacentral:tRNA from 3 species
AUGGUAUAUAACAUAAUGGUUAAUGUAUAUUACUACGGAUAAUAAUAUGUAAGUUCGAAUCUUGCUAUACCAUA